CAUUUCCAUUCCCACCUCCACUCCCCCCACACGCUCUCCCACGCUCCUCGCCCGCCGGCCGGCCAUGGCGGCGAUGCCGAUGCCCAGCCCCCGAUCUCUCCUGCUGCUCCUCCUCCUCGCCACCCCCUUCCUCCUCCUCCCCCUCGCCGCCUCAGCCCCCACCUCCAACCCGGACAUCGACCUGGAGUACCUCAUCAAGAACGCCGGCCUCGACGACUCCACCCCUGCCACCACCGCCACCGACCCCGAGGACGACGGCGCUCCGGACUUCCCCGGCCUCGACGCCGACUACAAAGACGAGGACGAGGACCUCUUCGGCGACGACGACGGGCCGGAGGAGUCCUCCCACCCCUCGGCGGCCGACGAGGCCCACGUGCUCCUCCUCACCGCCGCCAACUUCACCGCCGUCCUCGCCGCCCGCCGCCACGUCAUGGUCGAGUUCUACGCGCCCUGGUGCGGCCACUGCCGCGCGCUCGCCCCCCACUACUCCGCCGCCGCGACGCACCUCGCCGAGCAGGGGGUCGACGUCGCGCUGGCCAAGGUGGACGCCACCGAGGACCACGACCUGGCGCAGGCGCACGGCGUGCAGGGCUACCCCACCCUCCUCUUCUUCAUCGACGGCGUGCCCAGGGACUACUCCGGCGAGAGGACCAAGGACGCCAUUGUGGCUUGGAUCGGCAAGAAGCUGGGCCCUGCGGUGCAGAACCUCACCACCGUCGACGAGGCCGAGAAGAUCGUCACCGGCGACGACGUGGCCGUGCUCGCAUUCCUCGACCACCUCUCGGGUGCGCACAGCGAUGAGCUUGCUGCCGCCUCGAGGCUGGAAGAUACAAUCAGCUUCUACCAGACCACCAGCCCUGACGUAGCCAAGCUUUUCCACAUUGACCCGGAGGCAAAGCGCCCAUCAGUAGUCCUGCUCAAGAAAGAGGAGGAGAAGUUGACCGUUUUUGAUGGCGAGUUCAGAGCUUCUGCGAUUGCCGAGUUUGUUUCGGCCAACAAAAUCCCAUUGAUCACCACACUCACACAGGAGACCGCCCCUGCGAUUUUCGACAAUCCGAUCAAGAAGCAAAUUUUGCUAUUUGCUGUUGCGAAGGAGUCCUCAAAAUUUCUGCCCAUCAUUAAGGAAACAGCAAAGUCAUUCAAGGGAAAGCUUUUAUUUGUCUUUGUGGAGCGUGACAACGAGGAGGUUGGUGAACCUGUCGCCAAUUACUUUGGAAUUACUGGAAACGAGACCACGGUUCUUGCUUACACUGGGAAUGAAGACGCUAAGAAGUUCUUCUUCAGUGGUGAAAUAUCACUGGACACCAUUAAGGAAUUUGCUCAAGAUUUCCUGGAGGACAAGCUCACACCAUCCUACAAGUCUGACCCAGUACCUGAAUCUAAUGAUGAGGACGUCAAAGUUGUUGUUGGCAAGAGUCUAGAUCAAUUAGUUUUGGAUGAGUCAAAGGAUGUCCUUUUGGAGGUAUAUGCACCAUGGUGUGGGCAUUGUCAGUCGCUGGAGCCUAUCUACAACAAGCUGGCCAAGUAUCUCCGUGGCAUCGACUCCCUUGUAAUAGCCAAAAUGGACGGCACAAACAAUGAGCAUCCUCGUGCCAAGCCCGAUGGAUUCCCCACGAUACUCUUCUAUCCAGCUGGGAAGAAAAGCUUUGAGCCUAUAACUUUCGAGGGGGACCGGACGGUGGUGGAGAUGUACAAGUUCCUCAAGAAGCAUGCCGCCAUCCCUUUCAAGCUGAAGCGCCCGGACUCGUCAGCGGCACGGACCGACGGCCCAGGCUCGACGGCCGAGGGCGAGAAGAGCUCCGGUUCGAACCCGAAGGACGAGUUGUAGGGGGUUUACAUACGCCAUUGACAAGCACGAGGUGCUGCUGUCGAAAGCAGGAGGUGGAUAACAAAUAGCUAGGUAUCAACUCGGGGAGUAGAAUUCAAAGCACGGCAAGCUGGGGCGGAGUUAAGGGUGCGGCAGAAUAUAUAGCUAUGGCCAGCUGAGGGAUAGUGGAGGUCUGAAUCUGGAACAGCAAGACAGAAGCUGGCCCCGCACGCAGAGCGUCAUCACUGGUGGAUAACAUAAAACUUGAUCAGGGCUACUCGAGAUCAUGGCGGAAUUGGGCCUGAGUUUUUUAUCCAAUUGCAAGUCCAACAUCAACUCGCAAUUGGAUCGAAUCCUUUUACUUGCCCGAGUUACAAGUCCAUCAUUGACAUGCAACUGGGCUCUUUGAUCAUUUUUUUUUCCAUGUUUGUAAGUCCAUCCUUUGACUCACAAUCGGGCCUGGAUUUUUUUGCCUAAGUUGCAGGUCCACCAUCGAAUCGUAAAUAGGGAUGGUUUUUUUUGCCUCUUAGGGCAUGUACAACUGCAUCUAAUCAGCCGUCUAUAACGUAUGCCACCUCACAAUUUUGAUUA